CCAACUUAUACAUGGAGAGUUCAACCCUCCCACUUGUCAUCUUUAAAAAGCACAGGUUGGAGCUGAAGGAGUGCCCAGGCUGCGGAUGGAGGAAGGACGUGCUCGGGAGAAGGUGAAGAUGGGAGAGAAGCAAGAUCUUCUGUGUUUGGACCAAGGACACAUUUCCUUACUCCAUAGCAGCUGUGGUCAGUGGCUUAGCUCGGACAAGGAGAUGAGAGCCCAUGUGUUGUGAGGGUUCUUCUGGGAACUCUGAGAAGGCAGGAGCCGCCCCCGCCCUUCACUGCCUCUCUUCCAUUCUGCAGCAUGGAAUAUGGAUGUGUGGUCUGGAUGUACAGACACCAUUUUGGACCAUAAAGACAAGGACGAUUGUCUAAGGAUGACACAGCCAGAGCACUGAGAGUGGCGAGAAGGACAGGGGAGCUGCUGUGCCAAGCAGGACUGUCUCUCUUAAGAGAAAAAUAAAAUUUAUUGGUG
rnacentral:lncRNA from 10 species